rnacentral:rRNA from 1 species
AGAGUUUGAUCCUGGCUCAGGAUGAACGCUGGCGGCAUGCCUAAUACAUGCAAGUCGAACGGAGAAGCCUAACAGAAGAUGCUUGCAUCGGAAGAUAGAUACUUCUCAGUGGCGAACGGGUGAGUAACACGUAGGUAACCUGCCCAUGUGCCCGGGAUAAUUUCUGGAAACGGAAACUAAAACCGGAUAGGUAAUAGAGAAGCAUUUCUGUAUUAUUAAAGAAGCCUCAAAGCUUUGAACAUGGAUGGACCUGCGGUGCAUUAGCUAGUUGGUAAGGUAACGGCCUACCAAGGCGACGAUGCAUAGCCGACCUGAGAGGGCGAACGGCCACAUUGGGACUGAGACACGGCCCAAACUCCUACGGGAGGCAGCAGUAGGGAAUUUUCGUCAAUGGGGGGAACCCUGAACGAGCAAUGCCGCGUGAGUGAAGACGGUCUUCGGAUUGUAAAGCUCUGUUGUGAGAGAAAAAGGAUAUAUAUAGGAAAUGAUAUGUAUUUGAUGGUAUCUCACCAGAAAGUCACGGCUAACUACGUGCCAGCAGCCGCGGUAAUACGUAGGUGGCGAGCGUUAUCCGGAAUGAUUGGGCGUAAAGGGUGCGUAGGUGGCAGAUCAAGUCUGGAGUAAAAGGUAUGGGCUCAACCCGUACUGGCUCUGGAAACUGAUCAGCUAGAGAACAGAAGAGGACGGCGGAACUCCAUGUGUAGCGGUAAAAUGCGUAGAUAUAUGGAAGAACACCGGUGGCGAAGGCGGCCGUCUGGUCUGGAUUCUGACACUGAAGCACGAAAGCGUGGGGAGCAAAUAGGAUUAGAUACCCUAGUAGUCCACGCCGUAAACGAUGAGAACUAGGUGUUGGGGGAAUAACUCAGUGCCGCAGUUAACGCAAUAAGUUCUCCGCCUGGGGAGUAUGCACGCAAGUGUGAAACUCAAAGGAAUUGACGGGGGCCCGCACAAGCGGUGGAGUAUGUGGUUUAAUUCGAAGCAACGCGAAGAACCUUACCAGGCCUUGACAUCCCUUGCAGAGAUAUAGAGAUAUAUCCGAGGUUAUCAAGGAGACAGGUGGUGCAUGGUUGUCGUCAGCUCGUGUCGUGAGAUGUUGGGUUAAGU